CAUAGCUUAAUGAAUAUAUUAAGUACCCCCUGCCCAGUGAUUUUAACGGCCGCAGUACCUUGACUGUGCUAAGGUAGCAUAAUAAUUUGGCUUUUAAUUGAAGUCGGGAAUGAAUGGGAGACGGGAAAGUUGUCUCUUUAAGGGUAACUAAAUUUACUUAAUAGGUGAAAAUUCCUAUCUUUAUUAUUAGACGAGAAGACCCUUAGAAUUUUAAUUAUUUUUGUUGGGGCGACAAAGUUACAUUUAACUUACUACUAGUAAAAACAAGCCGAGGGUGAAUAAAUUACCUGAGGGAUAACAGCAUAAUUUUAAGAUUGUGACCUCGAUGUUGGAUUAGGAAAUAAUGGUUAACAACUUUUACUGUUCUGUUCGAACCCUACGUGA
rnacentral:rRNA from 1 species